rnacentral:rRNA from 1 species
UUCCGUAGGUGAACCUGCGGAAGGAUCAUUAAUGAAACUUCAAGUCGGCUGUUCUGUGCUGGUGGCAACACAUGUGCACGCUCAGUCGCAAUCCACACACCUGUGCACUUUGACUCUGAGCACCGCCAGUCAUAUGGCAGAAGGUUGUAAGGCUUUUAUGGUCUGAACCUGGUGCUCGAGUACUUUUACACACUCAGAAUGUAAUGGAAUGUCACUGUACAAUGUACAACUAUAAACAACUUUCAACAACGGAUCUCUUGGCUCUCGCAUCGAUGAAGAACGCAGCGAAAUGCGAUAAGUAAUGUGAAUUGCAGAAUUCAGUGAAUCAUCGAAUCUUUGAACGCACCUUGCACCCUUUGGUAUUCCGAAGGGUACACCCGUUUGAGUGUCAUUGUAAUCUCACWUCAACCACUUUUGUGAUGUUGAAUGUGGACUUGGAUGUUGCCGUGUCCAACGGCUCAUCUGAAAUGCUUGAGUGUACCCUGCUUUGCAGCGUAUCAGUGUGAUAAACAUCUUCACUGUUAAGUCUCUAGGGACACGCUWGUGUUGCAGGCUCUAUGCUUCCAACCGUCUCAGGACAAUCUCUGACAAUUUGACCUCAAAUCGGGUGGGACUACCCGCUGAACUUAAGCAUAUCAAUAAGCGGAGGAAAAGAAACUAACAAGGAUUCCCCUAGUAACGGCGAGUGAAGAGGGAAAAGCUCAAAUUUUGAAUCUGGUGUCUUUGACUCCCGAGUUGUAAUCUAGAGAAGUGUUUUCUGCGUUGGACCGUGCAAAAGUUCCCUGGAACGGGGCGUCAUAGAGGGUGAGAAUCCCGUAUAUGGCACGGACUCCCAUUGCUAUGUGAUACACUCUCAACGAGUCGAGUUGUUUGGGAAUGCAGCUCAAAAUGGGUGGUAAAUUCCAUCUAAAGCUAAAUAUUGGCGAGAGACCGAUAGCGAACAAGUACCGUGAGGGAAAGAUGAAAAGCACUUUGGAAAGAGAGUGAAACAGUACGUGAAAUUGUUGAAAGGGAAGCGUUUGAAGUCAGUCACAUCUGUCGGAAUUCAGCCUGGCUUCUGCCUGGUGUAUUUUCUGGCUGAUGGGUCAGCAUCAAUUUCGACCGAGGGAAAAAGACUUGGGGAAUGUGGCUGUCUUCGGGCAGUGUUAUAGCCCUUUG